rnacentral:rRNA from 1 species
AAACGAAGACGAUGUGCUUAGCACAAAGCGGAUUUGGACUUUCACUUAGUGGCGCAAGGUGAGUAACACGUGGGUUAGUCUGCCUUAGAGACUGGAAUAACAAUUAGAAAUGAUUGCUAAUGCCGGAUGAUAUAUAAGAAGAUACGUCCUCUUAUAUUAAAAGGUGCCUUUAAAGCAUCACUUUAAGAUGAGCCUGCGGCGCAUUAGCUAGUUGGUAAGGUAAUGGCUUACCAAGGCGACGAUGCGUAGCCGAACUGAGAGGUUGAUCGGCCACAUUGGGACUGAGACACGGCCCAAACUCCUACGGGAGACAGCAGUUAGGAAUAUUCGUCAAUGGGGGGAAACCCUGAACGAGCAAUGCCGCGUGAAUGAUGACGGUCCCUCUGGAUUGUAAAAUUCUGUUGUUGAGGAAGAACGUCUGGUGUAGGAAAUGACAUCAGAGUGACGGUACUCUUCAAGAAAGCUCCGGCUAACUACGUGCCAGCCGCCGC